CAGUGGGGGAAUAUUGCACAAUGGGCGCAAGCCUGAUGCAGCCAUGCCGCGUGUAUGAAGAAGGCCUUCGGGUUGUAAAGUACUUUCAGCAGUGAGGAAGGUGGAUAUGUUAAUAGCAUAUUCAUUUGACGUUAGCUGCAGAAGAAGCACCGGCUAACUCCGUGCCAGCAGCCGCGGUAAGUACGGAGGGUGCGAGCGUUAAUCGGAAUUACUAGGGCGUAAAGCGCAUGCAGGUGGUUUGUUAAGUCAGAUGUGAAAGCCCGGGGCUCAACCUCGGAAUUGCAUUUGAAACUGGCAAACUAGAGUACUGUAGGAGGGGGUAGAAUUUCAGGUGUAGCGGUGAAAUGCGUAGAGAUCUGAAGGAAUACCGGUGGCGAAGGCGGCCCCCUGGACAGAUACUGACACUCAGAUGACGAAAGCGGUGGGGAGCAAACAGGAUUAGAUACCCUGGUAG
rnacentral:rRNA from 1 species